rnacentral:rRNA from 1 species
UAAUGUCUGGGAAACUGCCUGAUGGAGGGGGAUAACGUACUGGAAACGGUAGCUAAUACCGCAUAAUGUCGCAAGACCAAAGUGGGGGACCGUUCGGGCCUCAUGCCACCAGAUGUGCCCAGAUGGGAUUAGCUAGUAGGUGGGGUAAUGGCUCACCUAGGCGACGAUCCCUAGCUGGUCUGAGAGGAUGACCAGCCACACUGGAACUGAGACACGGUCCAG